AACGAACGCUGGCGGCAUGCCUAACACAUGCAAGUCGAACGAGACCUUCGGGUCUAGUGGCGCACGGGUGCGUAACGCGUGGGAACCUGCCCUUAGGUUCGGAAUAACUCCCCGAAAGGGGUGCUAAUACCGGAUAAUGUCUUCGGACCAAAGAUUUAUCGCCUUUGGCUGGGCCCGCGUUGGAUUAGCUAGUUGGUAGGGUAAAAGCCUACCAAGGCGACGAUCCAUAGCUGGUCUGAGAGGAUGAUCAGCCACACUGGGACUGAGACACGGCCCAGACUCCUACGGGAUGCAGCAGUGGGGAAUAUUGGACAAUGGGCGAAAGCCUGAUCCAGCAAUGCCGCGUGAGUGAUGAAGGCCUUAGGGUUGUAAAGCUCUUUUACCCGGGAUGAUAAUGACAGUACCGGGAGAAUAAGCUCCGGCUAACUCCGUG
rnacentral:rRNA from 1 species